rnacentral:rRNA from 1 species
UACGGGGGGAGCAAGCGUUGUUCGGAUUUACUGGGCGUAAAGGGCGCGUGGGCGGCCACCGCAAGUCGAUUGUGAAAUCUCCGGGCUUAACCCGGAAAGGUUAACCGAUACUGCGGGGCUAGAGUGCAGAAGGGGCAACUGGAAUUCUCGGUGUAGCGGUGAAAUGCGUAGAUAUCGAGAGGAACACCUGCGGCGAAGGCGGGUUGCUGGGCUGACACUGACGCUGAUGCGCGAAAGCCAGGGGAGCGAACGGG